rnacentral:rRNA from 1 species
AUACGUAGGUGGCAAGCGUUGUCCGGAUUUAUUGGGCGUAAAGCGAGCGCAGGCGGUUUCUUAAGUCAGCGGUAAAAUUUCAGGGCUUAACCCUGUCGUGCCGUUGAAACUGGGGGACCUGAGUCUGGAUGAAGUGGGCGGAAUUUGUAGUGUAGCGGUGAAAUGCAUAGAUAUUACAAGGAACUCCAAUUGCGCAGGCAGCUCACUAAACCAUCACUGACGCUGAAGCACGAAAGCGUGGGUAUCAAACAGGAUUAGAUACCCUGGUAGUCCACGCAGUAAACGAUGAUUACUCGCUGUUUGCGAUAUAUUGUAAGCGGCUUAGCGAAAGCGUUAAGUAAUCCACCUGGGGAGUACGCCGGCAACGGUGAA